rnacentral:rRNA from 1 species
UACGUAGGGUCCGAGCGUUGUCCGGAAUUAUUGGGCGUAAAGAGCUCGUAGGCGGUCUGUCGCGUCGGCUGUGAAAACACGGGGCUCAACUCCGUGCCUGCAGUCGAUACGGGCAGACUAGAGUUCGGUAGGGGAGACUGGAAUUCCUGGUGUAGCGGUGAAAUGCGCAGAUAUCAGGAGGAACACCAGUGGCGAAGGCGGCUACCUGGCCUGUUCUUGACGCUGAGGCGCGAAAGCUAGGGGAGCAAACGGG